GGAAACUUGGAAACUACCGUUGGAUCGAGAAAUGGACGUCCGAGAUUCGUCCACAUCACCAUGAGUUAAAAUUGAACUCCCGGUAAAAUUUUAACUCAUGAGUGAAUCUGCGAGUUAAAUUUUAACUGAUGGUGACGUGGACGAAUUUUGGACGUCUAUUUCUCGAUCCAACGGUAGUUUCCAAGUUUCC
rnacentral:pre_miRNA from 1 species